GGCUCGAUGUCGGUAUCGAUUCGUGCGUGAACAAUUCGCUAGGCCGCUUCUCUCGACCUCUUCCCUUUCAAGGAAGAGGUCAUGGGUUCGAAUCCCAUCCGGGCUA
rnacentral:tRNA from 1 species